rnacentral:rRNA from 1 species
GGUACCUACCCUGUAGCGUCUGCAUAUAAGCCCGCCGAAGGACCACUAAACUCUGUUUGACAGUGUAUUCUGAAUGCUUCAACUAAAUAGUUAAAACUUUCAACAACGGAUCUCUUGGUUCUGGCAUCGAUGAAGAACGCAGCGAAAUGCGAUAAGUAAUGUGAAUUGCAGAAUUCAGUGAAUCAUCGAAUCUUUGAACGCACAUUGCGCCCAUUAGUAUUCUAGUGGGCAUGCCUAUUCGAGCGUCAUUUCGACCCUGAAGCCCUAGUUGCUUCGCGUUGGGACUCUACUGGCUACCCUGUAGUUCCCUAAUGACAGUGGCGGAGUUCAGGUGUACUCUCAGCGUAGUAAUUUCUUCUCGCUUUUGCAGUAGCCUGGUCCCCAGCCGUAAAACCCCCUAUUUUCUAGUGGUUGACCUCGGAUUAGGUAGGAAUACCCGCUGAACUUAA